rnacentral:rRNA from 1 species
GACGAACGCUGGCGGCGUGCUUAACACAUGCAAGUCGAACGGAAAGGCCCUGCUUUUGUGGGGUGCUCGAGUGGCGAACGGGUGAGUAACACGUGAGUAACCUGCCCUUGACUUUGGGAUAACUUCAGGAAACUGGGGCUAAUACCGGAUAGGAGCUCCUGCUGCAUGGUGGGGGUUGGAAAGUUUCGGCGGUUGGGGAUGGACUCGCGGCUUAUCAGCUUGUUGGUGGGGUAGUGGCUUACCAAGGCUUUGACGGGUAGCCGGCCUGAGAGGGUGACCGGCCACAUUGGGCCUGAGAUACGACCCAGACUCCUCCGGGAGGCAGCAGUGGGGAAUAUUGCACAAUGGACGGAAGCCUGAUGCAGCAACGCCGCGUGCGGGAUGACGGCCUUCGGGUUGUAAACCGCUUUCGCCUGUGACGAAGCGUGAGUGACGGUAAUGGGUAAAGAAGCACCGGCUAACUACGUG